rnacentral:rRNA from 1 species
GACGUAGGGCGCGAGCGUUGUCCGGAUUUAUUGGGCGUAAAGAGCUCGUAGGCGGCUUGUCGCGUCGGCUGUGAAAACCUGGGGCUCAACCCCGGGCCUGCAGCCGAUACGGGCAAGCUAGAAUUCGGUAGGGGAGACUGGAAUUCCCGGUGUAGUGGUGAAAUGCGUAGAGAUCGGGAGGAACACCUGUGGCGAAGGCGGCCCCCUGGGCCGGCCCUGACACUGAGACGCGAAGGCGUGGGGGAGCGAACGGG